rnacentral:misc_RNA from 1 species
UCGUAACAAGGUCUCCGUUGGUGAACCAGCGGAGGGAUCAUUACCGAGUUAUACAACUCCCAAACCCACUGUGAACCUUACCUCAGUUGCCUCGGCGGGAACGCCCCGGCCGCCUGCCCCCGCGCCGGCGCCGGACCCAGGCGCCCGCCGCAGGGACCCCAAACUCUCUUGCAUUACGCCCAGCGGGCGGAAUUUCUUCUCUGAGUUGCACAAGCAAAAACAAAUGAAUCAAAACUUUCAACAACGGAUCUCUUGGUUCUGGCAUCGAUGAAGAACGCAGCGAAAUGCGAUAAGUAAUGUGAAUUGCAGAAUUCAGUGAAUCAUCGAAUCUUUGAACGCACAUUGCGCCCGCCAGCAUUCUGGCGGGCAUGCCUGUUCGAGCGUCAUUUCAACCCUCGAGCCCCCCCCGGGGGCCUCGGUGUUGGGGGACGGCACACCAGCCGCCCCCGAAAUGCAGUGGCGACCCCGCCGCAGCCUCCCCUGCGUAGUAGCACACACCUCGCACCGGAGCGCGGAGGCGGUCACGCCGUAAAACGCCCAACUUUCUUAGAGUUGACCUCGGAUCAGGUAGGAAUACCCGCUGAACUUAAGCAUAUCAAUAAGCGGAGGA